rnacentral:rRNA from 2 species
GAAGUGAUUGGAAGUGGUUCCAAGAAAAGCCUCUAAGCUUCAGCUGUACGAGACCGUACCGCAAACCGACACAGGUGGACGGGAUGAAUAUUCCAAGGCGCUUGAGAGAACUCGGGAGAAGGAACUCGGCAAAUUGAUACCGUAACUUCGGGAGAAGGUAUGCCCCGGUAGUGUGAAGCGCCUGCGCGCUGAGCAUGAUGGGGUCGCAGAGAAUCGGUGGCUGCGACUGUUUAUUAAAAACACAGCACUCUGCAAAGACGAAAGUCGACGUAUAGGGUGUGACGCCUGCCCGGUGCCGGAAGGUUAAGUGAUGGGGUGCAAGCUCUUGAUCGAAGCCCCGGUAAACGGCGGCCGUAACUAUAACGGUCCUAAGGUAGCGAAAUUCCUUGUCGGGUAAGUUCCGACCUGCACGAAUGGCGUAACGAUGGCCACACUGUCUCCUCCCGAGACUCAGCGAAGUUGAAGUGUUUGUGAUGAUGCAAUCUACCCGCGGCUAGACGGAAAGACCCCAUGAACCUUUACUGUAGCUUUGCAUUGGACUUUGAACCGGCCUGUGUAGGAUAGGUGGGAGGCGCUGAAACCGAGUCGCUAGAUUCGGUGGAGCCGACCUUGAAAUACCACCCUGGUCUGUUUGAGGUUCUAACCUUGGUCCGUUAUCCGGAUUGGGGACAGUGCAUGGUGGGCAGUUUGACUGGGGCGGUCUCCUCCCAAAGCGUAACGGAGGAGUUCGAAGGUACGCUAGGUACGGUCGGAAAUCGUGCUGAUAGUGCAAUGGCAUAAGCGUGCUUGACUGUGAGACUGACAAGUCGAACAGGUGCGAAAGCAGGACAUAGUGAUCCGGUGGUUCUGAAUGGAAGGGCCAUCGCUCAACGGAUAAAAGGUACUCUGGGGAUAACAGGCUGAUACCGCCCAAGAGUUCAUAUCGACGGCGGUGUUUGGCACCUCGAUGUCGGCUCAUCUCAUCCUGGGGCUGUAGCCGGUCCCAAGGGUAUGGCUGUUCGCCAUUUAAAGAGGUACGUGAGCUGGGUUUAAAACGUCGUGAGACAGUUUGGUCCCUAUCUGCCGUGGGCGUUGGAUACUUGACGGAGCCUGCUCCUAGUACGAGAGGACCGGAGUGGACGUACCUCUGGUGUACCGGUUGUCAUGCCAAUGGCAUUGCCGGGUAGCUAUGUACGGAAGAGAUAACCGCUGAAGGCAUCUAAGCGGGAAACUCGUCUGAAGAUUAGGUAUCCCGGGGCCUCGAGCCCCCUGAAGGGUCGUUCAAGAC